UGCAACUUCAUUUUCCUCAAAUGCUUUCUUAAAAUCCCUAGACGGUAACGACUAAAAGCUAUCUCACAUUCGUGUCAACAAUUUUGAAGAGGUACUCCAACAGUUGACAGUCUACGUGUGAAGAGGACCUCUCCAAAACACAUUUAUUUAAACAUUGGAGACGUUAAUCCACACAUAAUCGAAAAUCAGACAAAGACAGGCAAGCACGUCGCAAUAUUUGAAGAUAUGCGUGAAAUUAUUAAUAACACGGACAUAAAUAAAAAGAACCAUGAUUCCAUUUGGUUUUCUACUUUAAAAACAACUAUAAAUCUUUUAUCUCACGUUUUUAGUAGUUUAGUGGUCGUAAUAUGUCUUUGGUUUUCUUGUCGAUCGACAAAAUUAACCAUCAUAGAGUUGCAUAUAGUGUUAUGUGUUUUAGGGUACCAACUCUUCAUGAGUCAGGGAAUACUAGUUUUGUCAAAGUUCAACAGCUGGUCGAUGUACUUUAAGCGAAGCCACCGGCAAUGUAUCCACUGGGGUUUGGAAAUAAUUGGAGCAGUAUUGGUCAUCGUUGGCUCUAUUGAAGUGAUCAGAUACAAACAUGAACAUUUUAAUACUCUUCAUGGAAUUCUAGGUUUAUGUGCUUUCAUAGCAACAGUGAUAAUCAUAUUCAACGGGACGAUGACGUCACUUUGUACCAAACUUCCCAGCUAUGGUAUAACUGGUAUCAGCCUAACUGCCAGCAAAUGCGUGCAUGGUGUCACAGGAAUUGCAACCUUAUUUCUUGCCUCCGCAAGUCUACAUUACGGCUACGAUAAACGGUCUUUCAGAAGGUGGAUCAAUAACGAAAAUUUGAUCGUUGUUCUUAAAGUCUUUACUUGGAUGUUAACCAUUUUCGUUGGUUUUGAGUUUUGGAUAAUAUUGGCAAAGAGGAUUCAGUGUAAAAAUACUAUGCCCGUCGGUGUAUCUAAUUAGAACUA